rnacentral:rRNA from 1 species
CUACGGAGGAUGCAAGCGUUAUCCGGAUUUAUUGGGUUUAAAGGGUGCGUAGGCUGUGCGUUAAGUCAGGGGUGAAAUGCCGUCGCUCAACGACGGAGCUGCCCUUGAUACUGGCGUGCUGGAGUACGGAUGCCGUUGGAGGAAUGAGUGGUGUAGCGGUGAAAUGCUUAGAUAUCACUCAGAACACCGAUUGCGAAGGCAUCUGACGAAUCCGUCACUGACGCUGAGGCACGAAAGCGUGGGGAUAGAACAGGAUUAGAUACCCUGGUAUUCCACGCCGUAAACGAUGAUGACUAACCGUCGGCGAUAGACAGCCGGUGGCCAAGCGAAAGCGAUAAGUCAUCCACCUGGGGAGUACGUCGGCAACGAUGAAACUCAAAGGAAUUGACGGGG